rnacentral:lncRNA from 1 species
UGUGUUCAAUUUUCUCUUCCUUACUCUCUCUACCUCGAUCGUAUUUCAAUUUGUUAAGAAUUGCUUCUGUAUUUGAGACAAAUUGUUUGUGCGCCUAUUCACCCCCCCUCUAGGUGUUUAUACUAGCAAUAUCAGGUCCCUCCUGGUUUCCAAUGUCCUUAAGCGUGAGAGGUCUUAAUUAAUCUGAGUUUGAAGUCCCUCUGAUUAUGUACGUGAGGUGUGAUUAUCAGAUGAUGUCGUGAAACUGUGGGUUCGUAUUCUCUUUUUUCUUUCUUUUACGUGAUGAGUGUGAUGAGUGGUGCGUGUUAAAAGGAAUAAAUGCCUACAGUGCUCGUUUAGCUUUACGUUUAUGGGGGUUAUGAAGUGAAUAAUGGUCUCUGUUACAAGAUGCUUAGUAAGUCAUGUAUUCAUGUAAUGAAAAUAAGAAAGUUGUCAAAGUUGUUUCAAUCGAAAUGAAUACUUUUUCUUAGAGAAC